AGCCCACUAUUAUGAAAUAGUUAAGCCCAUACGGACAGGCGGGGCUGCUGCCGG
rnacentral:sRNA from 12 species